GCAGGUAUAGCACAAUGGUUAGUGUAGGAGAUUUCCAAUCUUCUGAUGUGGGUUCGAUUCCCAUUACCUGCU
rnacentral:tRNA from 1 species